CGGGUGAGUAAUGUCUGGGAAACUGCCUGAUGGAGGGGGAUAACUACUGGAAACGGUAGCUAAUACCGCAUAACGUCUUCGGACCAAAGUGGGGGACCUUCGGGCCUCACGCUAUCGGAUGUGCCCAGAUGGGAUUAGCUAGUAGGUGGGGUAAUGGCUCACCUAGGCGACGAUCCCUAGCUGGUCUGAGAGGAUGACCAGCCACACUGGAACUGAGACACGGUCCAG
rnacentral:rRNA from 1 species